CAGCACCUCAAGUGGUCAGGAUGAUUAUUGGGCCUAAAGCAUCCGUAGCCGGCGCUGUAAGUUUUCGGUUAAAUCUGUACGCUCAACGUACAGGCUGCCGGGAAUACUGCAGCGCUAGGGAGUGGGAGAGGUAGACGGUACUCGGUAGGAAGGGGUAAAAUCCUUUGAUCUAUUGAUGACCACCUGUGGCGAAGGCGGUCUACCAGAACACGUCCGACGGUGAGGGACGAAAGCGUGGGGAGCGAACAGGAUUAGAUACCCUGGUAGUCC
rnacentral:rRNA from 1 species